rnacentral:rRNA from 1 species
CGUGUAGGCGGCCAGGUAGGUCUGCUGUGAAAACUCGAGGCUCAACCUCGAGCUGUCGGUGGAAACCAUCUGGCUAGAGUCCGGAAGAGGAGAAUGGAAUUCCUGGUGUAGCGGUGAAAUGCGCAGAUAUCAGGAAGAACACCCGUGGCGAAGGCGGUUCUCUGGGACGGUACUGACGCUGAGACGCGAAAGCGUGGGAGCAAACA